GAUGAACGCUAGCUACAGGCUUAACACAUGCAAGUCGAGGGGAAACGGCAUCGAAAGCUUGCUUUUGAUGGGCGUCGACCGGCGCACGGGUGAGUAACGCGUAUCCAACCUGCCCAUCACUUGGGAAUAACCUUGCGAAAGUAAGACUAAUGCCCAAUGACAUCCCACGAAGGCAUCCGAAUGGGAUUAAAGAUUUAUCGGUGAUGGAUGGGGAUGCGUCUGAUUAGCUUGUUGGCGGGGUGACGGCCCACCAAGGCAACGAACAGUAGGGGUUCUGAGAGGAAGGUCCCCCACAUUGGAACUGAGACACGGUCCAAACUCCUACGGGAGGCAGCAGUGAGGAAUAUUGGUCAAUGGGCGAGAGCCUGAACCAGCCAAGUAGCGUGCAGGAUGACGGCCCUAUGGGUUGUAAACUGCUUUUAUAAGGGAAUAAAGUGGGUCACGUGUGACUUUUUGCAUGUACCUUAUGAAUAAGGACCGGCUAAUUCCGUG
rnacentral:rRNA from 1 species